UCUUUUUAAUAUAAUGCAGUGGGCCCCAGACCUGGGGCUCUUUUCAAGAUGGUGAUUGUUCCCUUAAUUGCAGACAACUGCAGCUUCUGUGCGCUUGGGUGACCGGGGAUUGCCUCAAGGUAUUUCUUCAGGUUCUUCUUCAUCAGGCCUGUUGCCCCCCACCACAUCUGGGAUGAUAUUGAUGUCUUUCCAUGACCAUGUUGUUCAUAGGUCAUUUUUCAGGUCUUGGUAUUUUGUGAUCUUUCCCCUUUCAGCUCGAUUCAGGCCAUAGUCAUUGGGGACUGUCCCAUCGAUGAUUUUGACUGUUUUCCCUUGCUUGUUCCAGGUGCAAUCAAACCUGACAGUAUCAGGUUUGAUAUGUUUUCCUGCUGGGAUCUCUUUGUUGUAGAAGACAGUUACUUUUCCGUUGGACGAGACUGGUGCUGGCUCAUGCUCCCAGAUGUUUUCCUUGACUUCCAUCUCCAGUUCCUUGCAUACCUUCCAGUGGUGAUAUUGACACAUCUUGUUGUGUCGGGAUGUAUAAUGUACGUCUGCCGUAAGGAUCUGGCAUGCUGAUGUUAGAUGGUUUACACUUUCAAGAGCUGUAUGGCAGAAUCGGCAUUUGUCAUUUUGUGAGAUCCCUGCCAUUUUUUUGAAGCCAUUUGUUAGGAGUCCCUGAUCUUGUGCUCCAAUCAGAA